GGUACCUUUCUGGAUCCGAGUCCCCAUUGUUAAAUUUUUUGGAUCCGUACCCAGAACCGAUCCCACCUGUUGCCACCCCUAGCUCCAGAUGCCUCCUCUACCUCCCUCUCUAUAAUUGAAUUUGCUUGCCGUCCGCUAUACAGCUUCAAAGGAACACCAGACUUCAUCAUAAGCUGCUAAACCCAAAACCGUGAAUCCUAGCAUCAAGAUGAGUGGCGCGUGCGGGAUCACGUUCCGAGCACCCCAUCACCACUGCCCCACUUCACAAAACCCUAACUCCACCACCCCAAAAAUCCCUGUCUUCCCCCUCCCCAUCAAUACCAAUAAGCGUUUCCACCCUCUGUGCUCAUCGGCUUCAUCACAAACCCAAAAAACUGAAAAUAAGAACCCCCUGGUGGUGGUGGGCUCGGCAAAUGCAGACAUUUAUGUCGAGAUCGAGAGGCUCCCAAAGGAAGGAGAGACUGUGGCUGCAAAAAGGGGUCAAACCCUAGCAGGUGGGAAGGGGGCGAACCAGGCUGCGUGUGCCGGGAUGCUGGAUUACCACCCCACUUAUUUCAUAGGGCAGGUGGGUGAGGAUGCUCAUGGCAGAUUGGUGACGGAUGCGUUGGCCCAGGGAGGCAUCUGCUUGGAGCAUGUGAAGAGGGUGGAGGGGGAACCCACGGGGCAUGCCGUGGUGAUGCUGCUUGGAUCUGAUGGGCAGAAUUCUAUCAUCAUAGUUGGGGGGGCAAACACGAGUGGCUGGCCAGACCCUCUGCCGGAGGAGGAUCUUUGGGUUGUCAGGAAUGCGGGGGUCCUCCUUUUGCAGAGGGAGAUACCUGACGCCGUCAACAUUCAGGUCGCAAAGGCUGCAAACAGUGCACAUGUUCCCGUCAUUUUGGAUGCUGGGGGGAUGGAGGGACCAAUCCCUCGAGAACUACUUAAAGCUGUUGAUAUUUUCAGCCCAAAUGAGACUGAAUUGGCACGCUUGACAGGGAUGCCAACGGACACUUCCGAACAAAUUGCGGAAGGAAUUUCAAAAUGCCAUGAAAUGCAGUGUACCCAUGUGUGGAAGUGUCGACAAUGGCCAAAACGUGACAGCAAGCUCGACAUGGACAGCAACAUGACAGCAAGCUUCGCAUAGAGUGUCCAGGGAGUGAAGCAAGUUUUGUUAAAACUUGGAGCAAAGGGAUCAGCACUUUUUACAGAAGGUGAGGAGCGUCCCAUUAUACAGCCGAUUAUUGCGACCUCAAAAGUUGUUGAUACAACUGGUGCUGGUGAUACUUUCACUGCUGCGUUUGCGGUGGCUCUAGUCGAGGGGAAGUCGAAUAAGGAGUGCUUGAAAUUUGCAGCUGCAGCAGCAUCUCUCUGUGUUCAAGUGAAGGGAGCCAUCCCUAGCAUGCCUAAUAGGAAGGCAGUUUUGGAGCUGCUUCAAUCUCUUUGAAGAAAAGUUUUCUCCUUUUGGCGUGUGAGAGAUGUUGAUUUCUUUUCUAAUGAAUACAUCAAAUGAAAAGAAAAGAUGGGUGUAAUAUGCUUCUAUCUUAACAUGUAGGCAAACUGGAUCAAAUAUUUAUAAGAAGGGAGAUAAAAUGUGCAUACCUAAUAAUACAAAAUGAUCAUUUAUUCUGAAAUUAUGUUGUGCUUCGUAACAGUUCUGUUAUUUAUUGGCAAGUGAAAGAAUGUGAGAGGAUAUAUUCGGACUGUAAUUUGUCAACCA